GUAACCUGCCUGUGACACUGGGAUAACUCCCGGAAACCGGAGCUAAUACCGGAUACUUCCUUGAACCGCAUGGUUCAAGGAUGAAAGACGGUUUCGGCUGUCACUUACAGAUGGACCCGCGGGGCAUUAGCUAGUUGGUGAGGUAACGGCUCACCAAGGGGACGAUGCGUAGCCAAGCUGAGAGGGUGAUCGGCCACACUGGGACUGACACAAGGCCCACACUCCUACGGGAGGCGGCAUUAGGGAAUCUUCCGCAAUGGACGAAAGUCUGACGGAGCAACACCGCGUGAGUGAUGAAGGUUUUCGGAUCCUAUAGCUCUGUUGUAAGGGAAGAACAAGUGCCAUAGUAACUGCUUGCACCUUGACGGUACCUAACCAGAAAGCCACGGCUAACUACGUGCCAGCAUCCGCGGAAAUACGUAGGUGGCAAGCGUUGUCCGGAAUUAUUGGGCGUAAAGGGCUCGCAGGCGGUUUCUUACUUCUGAUGUGAAAGCCCCCGGCUCAACCGGGGAGGGUCAUUGGAAACUGGGAAUCUUGAGUGCACAAGAGGAGAGUGGAAUUCCACGUGUAGCGGUGAAAUGCAUAGAGAUGUGGAGGAACACCACUGGCGACGGCGACUCUCUGGUCUGUAACUGAACCUGAUGAGCGACACCGUGAGGAGCGAACAGGAUUAGAUACCCUGGUAUCCACGCCGUAAACGAUGAGUGCUAAGUGUUAGGGGUUUCCACCCCUUACUGCUGCAGCUAACGCAUUAACACUCCGACUGGGGAGUACUGUCGGCAGACCUGCAUAUUCAAAGAAUUGACCGGGAGCCCUCACAAGCGGUGGAACAUAGUCGUUUUAAUUGCAUGCCACGCCAAAAAACGUUACCAGUCUGGACAUGCUCUGAAACCCC
rnacentral:rRNA from 1 species